GACGAACGCUGGCGGCGUGCCUAAUACAUGCAAGUUGAGCGCUGAAGGUUGGUACUUGUACCAACUGGAUGAGCAGCGAACGGGUGAGUAACGCGUGGGGAAUCUGCCUUUGAGCGGGGGACAACAUUUGGAAACGAAUGCUAAUACCGCAUAAAAACUUUAAACACAAGUUUUAAGUUUGAAAGAUGCAAUUGCAUCACUCAAAGAUGAUCCCGCGUUGUAUUAGCUAGUUGGUGAGGUAAAGGCUCACCAAGGCGAUGAUACAUAGCCGACCUGAGAGGGGGAUCCGCCACAUUGGGACUUAGAAACGGCCCAAGCCUCUACGGGGAGCAGCAGGAGGGGAUCUUCGGCAAAUGACGAAAGUCUGACCGGGCAACGCCGCGGGAGGGAAGAAGGGUUUCGGAUCGUAAAACUCUGUUGGUAGGGAAGAACGUUGGUGAGAGUGGAAAGCUCAUCAAGUGACGGUAACUACCCAGAAAGGGACGGCUAACUACGUG
rnacentral:rRNA from 1 species